rnacentral:rRNA from 1 species
AUAUCAAUAAGCGGAGGAAAAGAAACCAACAGGGAUUGCCCUAGUAACGGCGAGUGAAGCGGCAACAGCUCAAAUUUGAAAUCUGGCUUCGGCCCGAGUUGUAAUUUGCAGAGGAAGCUUUGGGCGCGGCACCGACCGAGUCCCCUGGAACGGGGCGCCAUAGAGGGUGAGAAUCCCGUCUUUGACCCAGAGUACGCCGCGUACGACACGCGUUCGAAGAGUCGAGUUGGUCGGGACUCCAGCUCUAAAUGGGUGGUAAGAUUCAUCUAAAGCUAAAUAUAGGCGGGAGACCGAUAGCGAACAAGUACCGUGAGGGAAAGAUGAAAAGAACUUUGAAAAGAGAGUUAAAAAGUACUUGAAAUUGUUAAGAGGAAAGCGAUGGAAACCAGUCGUGCCCGGUGCAACUAAAGCUUUCGCCUGCGAAGGAGCGUAUGUUUGGGUGGUUAAACCCCGGCUUGCGUUCGGACGUUGCGUGGGAGUGGACGUUGUGUUGGGUGGGUCAGCAUCAAUUUGGCUGCUUGGGAGAAAGCCGGGAGGGAGCUAGCUUCGACUUCGGUUGUCGCCGUAUAAACUCCCGGCUAUACCAGGUGCUGGAUUGAGGACUUGACAACG